UUGCUUGCGUUAAGAGUGGAAAGCGGCGAAAGGGAGAGUAACGCGUGGAUAUCUGCCCCUGGACCCGGGAUAGCUGUGGGAAACUGCAGGUAAUACCGGAUAAUGUCUCCGGACCAAAGGUGUGAUUCCGUCUAGGGAUGAGUCCGCGUCNUACUAGCUUGUUGGUGGGGUAAUGGCCUACCAAGGCAAUGAUGGGUAGCGGGUGUGAGAGCAUGGCCCGUCUCACUGGGACUGAGACACUGCCCAGACACCUACGGGUGGCUGCAGUCGAGAAUCUUCCGCAAUGGACGAAAGUCUGACGGAGCGACGCCGCGUGCGGGAUGAAGGCCCUCGGGUUGUAAACCGCUGUCAGUUGGGAGGAAAUGCAUAGGGGCACUCUCCUAUGUUUGACCGAUCUUCAGAGGAAGUCCGGGCUAAGUUCGUGCCAGCAGCCGCGGUAAGACGAACCGGACGAACGUUAUUCGGAAUCACUGGGCUUAAAGAGUGCGUAGGCGGCUUGGUAGGUUGGGUGUGAAAUCCCACAGCUCAACUGUGGAACUGCGCUCAAAACCACCAGGCUUGAGGAAGGUAGAGGUGAGCGGAACUGAUGGUGGAGCGGUGAAAUGCGUUGAUAUCAUCAGGAACACCGGUGGCGAAGGCGGC
rnacentral:rRNA from 1 species